UAAGAGAAGGUGUCAAAUAAAAGGUGUGG
rnacentral:piRNA from 1 species